rnacentral:sRNA from 1 species
GGGAGAGGGCGCCGGGAUCCGGACGGGGAGCAAUCGGGGCAGGCCGUGCCGGCCGAGGAGGUCCUGAGGCUACAGAGCUGCCGCGGCUGGCACACGAGCGCCUCGGCACUAACCGAGUGUUCGCGGGGGCUGUGAGGGGAGGGCCCCGGGCGCCAUUGCUGGCGGUGGGAGCGCCGCCCGGUCUCAGCCCGCCCUCGGCUGCUCUCUCCUCCGGCUGGGAGGGGCCGUAGCUCGGGGCCGUCGCCAGCCCCGGCCCGGGCUCGAGAAUCGAGGGCCUCGGCCGCCGUCCCGCAGCUCAGUCCAUCGCCCUUGCCGGGCAGCCCGGGCAGAGACCAUGUUUGACAAGACGCGGCUGCCGUACGUGGCCCUCGAUGUGCUCUGCGUGUUGCUGGAUUAUUCUUGGAGAAACCCUGUCUGUUUACUGUAACCUUUUGCACUCAAAUUCCUUUAUCAGGAAUAACUACAUAGCCACUAUUUACAAAGCCAUUGGAACCUUUUUAUUUGGUGCAGCUGCUAGUCAGUCCCUGACUGACAUUGCCAAGUAUUCAAUAGGCAGACUGCGGCCUCACUUCUUGGAUGUUUGUGAUCCAGAUUGGUCAAAAAUCAACUGCAGCGAUGGUUACAUUGAAUACUACAUAUGUCGAGGGAAUGCAGAAAGAGUUAAGGAAGGCAGGUU